rnacentral:ncRNA from 1 species
AUCUAAGUACAUACCUUAAAACGAUGAAACCGCGAAUGGCUCAUUAAAUCAGCUAUGGUUUCUUAGAUCGUAAAUGCUACAUGGAUAACUGUAGUAAUUCUAGUGCUACUACUACAUGUCUUGAAUCCCUGACCCGCAAGGGGACAGGUACAUUUAUUAGAACAGAACCAAUCGGGUGCGGCUUCGGUUGUGCCUGUUACAUUCUGUGAUGACUCUAAACAUUUAGAUGUUUUGAUAAUCAAUAUCUAUGUCACCCUUCUUCAAUCACAAAAAUUUCCUACUUCUUCAACAG